GACAACUCAAAGAAAUUUGCCACCAUGGA
rnacentral:piRNA from 1 species